rnacentral:rRNA from 1 species
GUGAGGAAUAUUGGUCAAUGGGCGAGAGCCUGAACCAGCCAAGUCGCGUGAAGGAAGAAGGAUCUAUGGUUCGUAAACUUCUUUUGCAGGGGAAUAAAGUGCAGGACGUGUCCUGUUUUGUAUGUACCCUGAGAAUAAGGAUCGGCUAACUCCGUGCCAGCAGCCGCGGUAAUACGGAGGAUCCGAGCGUUAUCCGGAUUUAUUGGGUUUAAAGGGUGCGUAGGUGGUUUGAUAAGUCAGCGGUGAAAGUUUGCAGCUUAACUGUAAAAAUGCCGUUGAAACUGUCGGACUUGAGUGUAAAUGAGGUAGGCGGAAUGCGUGGUGUAGCGGUGAAAUGCAUAGAUAUCACGCAGAACUCCGAUUGCGAAGGCAGCUUACUAAGCUACAACUGACACUGAAGCACGAAAGCGUGGGGAUCAAACAGGAUUAGAUACCCGUGUAGUCC